rnacentral:sRNA from 1 species
UGGUAGAGUGGACUUCCAAAAAGACCAGUGUGCUAGGCUAUGCCAGAAGACAGGGAAGGUGACCCAGUAAGGAGAGUUCGCCUUCCACUCCCAUCUCCUCUUCCCCCAGCCGACACUGUGUGCCCCCUCUGUCUCUCCCACCUUCACGUAGAAGAUAGGAUUUCUUUAGAAGUGUGUAACAGUCCUGUUAGAUUACCAAGUGCUAAUAGUUAAUAUGUAAUCUGUUCUUUUUAUGAAGGCAAAUCGAAGGGAGAGUGGUUGAGAUUUCCAGACUCCAAGAGAUAUUCACGGAAAAGGUUUUGCAACAGGAAGCUGAGAUUGACAGCAUUCACCAGUUAGUUGUGGGGGCAACGGAAAAUAUCAAGGAAGGCAACGAAGACAUAAGAGAGGCCAUUAAAAACAACGCUGGCUUCCGCGUGUGGAUCCUCUUCUUCCUCGUGAUGUGCUCCUUCUCCUUGCUCUUCCUCGACUGGUACGACAGCUAGCCGGGGCCACGGGGGCCCAGCACGAGAGUCCUCAUGGGCACUCACAGACUGCGUGCUUUCGUGUACUUCCAGUGCUGGAGCAUGGUAUGACCAGAUUUUAUCACAGUGCCAUUUGAAGGGAAAGGAGUUCAGACAGACAGACGUAUUCCCCAAAAAGGGAUACCCCAGGCCGAUGGUGUUCAGCCCAUUUAGCAGCUGAAAAAGGAAACAGUGCACACCAAUGGGAGGCAGCCUGCGUAGCCCUCAUCAGGCAAGACAGACUGAAUGCAGGAGCGGGUGAUUAGCUGCUCCUGAACUUGAGGCUGCCUUGGCAGGGGGGCUGCUCCAGUAGCAGGGGCACAGCAGGCCUCAAGAGCCCCUAAUUGUCUCAGGGUUCAAAGGAAGACACUGACCUUUCCCAUCCCGGUAGCUUCAGGGAAGAUCAUAGUUAAUAACGUCUCUCAACAAAUGAUUACUUCUUUGUUUCCUUGUGGCUUCUUGUCUGUCUCAGUCAACGAAUACACAGACUUACUGGAUUAUAGAAGAGAAAAUUCACAUCUGCCUUGUUAAUCUAAUAAAUAUAAUUACAGCCCCUUAAUGUGUUGUCAAUGAGUCUAAGUUGACAAAUUCAGUGGCAGCCCAGCCACCUCCUAUCAAUCAAUCAGGGAAGAAAUGCAGGGGAGACUGGGGCCCUCAGUGAGGGGCUGCCUGGCAUUACUCCUCCAAAGACUGCUGCCC